AAAUUGAAGAGUUUGAUCAUGGCUCAGAUUGAACGCUGGCGGCAGGCCUAACACAUGCAAGUCGAACGGUAACAGGAAGCAGCUUGCUGCUUCGCUGACGAGUGGCGGACGGGUGAGUAAUGUCUGGGAAACUGCCUGAUGGAGGGGGAUAACUACUGGAAACGGUAGCUAAUACCGCAUAACGUCGCAAGACCAAAGAGGGGGACCUUCGGGCCUCUUGCCAUCGGAUGUGCCCAGAUGGGAUUAGCUAGUAGGUGGGGUAACGGCUCACCUAGGCGACGAUCCCUAGCUGGUCUGAGAGGAUGACCAGCCACACUGGAACUGAGACACGGUCCAGACUCCUACGGGAGGCAGCAGUGGGGAAUAUUGCAC
rnacentral:rRNA from 1 species